rnacentral:rRNA from 1 species
AGUGAACGCUGGCGGUAGGCCUAACACAUGCAAGUCGAACGGCAGCACAGUAAGAGCUUGCUCUUACGGGUGGCGAGUGGCGGACGGGUGAGGAAUACAUCGGAAUCUACUUUUUCGUGGGGGAUAACGUAGGGAAACUUACGCUAAUACCGCAUACGCCCUACGGGUGAAAGCAGGGGAUCUUCGGACCUUGCGCGAUUGAAUGAGCCGAUGUCGGAUUAGUUAGUUGGCGGGGUAAAGGCCCACCAAGGCGACGAUCCGUAGCUGGUCUGAGAGGAUGAUCAGCCACACUGGAACUGAGACACGGUCCAGACUCCUACGGGAGGCAGCAGUGGGGAAUAUUGGACAAUGGGCGCAAGCCUGAUCCAGCCAUACCGCGUGGGUGAAGAAGGCCUUCGGGUUGUAAAGCCCUUUUGUUGGGAAAGAAAAGCAGCAGGUUAAUACCCCGCUGUUCUGACGGUACCCAAAGAAUAAGCACCGGCUAACUUCGUG